rnacentral:hammerhead_ribozyme from 1 species
ACCCAGAUGACGAAUCCCAAAUAGGACGAAGUGCGCGUUAUCCUGGAU